GGCAGCCCAAAUACAGUGGUGUUUAUAACUAAUUGAUCACAAUGAGUUACAGACAUACUGUUUUUUCUCCACUUCCCCUGCAUCACUUGACCUGCAUUAA
rnacentral:Y_RNA from 1 species